UUUCCGUAGGUGAACCUGCGGAAGGAUCAUUAUUGAAUAAACUUGGUUAGGUUGUUGCUGGUCCUUAGGGGCAUGUGCACGCCGAAUCCAUUUUUAACCACCUGUGCACCUUGCGUAGAACUGAUAAUCUCGAGGAAACUCGGUUUGAGAAUUGCUGUGCAAACGGCUCUUCUUGUAAUCAGGACUAUGUUUCUAUAUACCCCACACGCAUGUAUCAUGAAUGUCGUUAAUGGCCUGUGUGCUUUUAAAAACAAAUACAACUUUCAACAACGGAUCUCUUGGUUCUC
rnacentral:misc_RNA from 1 species